rnacentral:ribozyme from 13 species
UUUUUUUUUUUUUUUUUUUUUUUUUUUUUUUUUUACCUCCAAUCUG